AUUGAACGCUGGCGGCAGGCCUAACACAUGCAAGUCGAGCGGAUGAAGGGAGCUUGCUCCUGGAUUCAGCGGCGGACGGGUGAGUAAUGCCUAGGAAUCUGCCUGGUAGUGGGGGAUAACGCCCGGAAACGGGCGCUAAUACCGCAUACGUCCUGAGGGAGAAAGUGGGGGAUCUUCGGACCUCACGCUAUCAGAUGAGCCUAGGUCGGAUUAGCUAGUUUGUGGGGUAAAGGCCUACCAAGGCGACGAUCCGUAACUGGUCUGAGAGGAUGAUCAGUCACACUGGAACUGAGACACGGUCCAGACUCCUACGGGAGGCAGCAGUGGGGAAUAUUGGACAAUGGGCGAAAGCCUGAUCCAGCCAUGCCGCGUGUGUGAAGAAGGUCUUCGGAUUGUAAAGCACUUUAAGUUGGGAGGAAGGGCAGUAAGUUAAUACCUUGCUGUUUUGACGUUACCAACAGAAUAAGCACCGGCUAACUUCGUG
rnacentral:rRNA from 1 species